rnacentral:rRNA from 1 species
AUUGAACGCUGGCGGCAGGCCUAACACAUGCAAGUCGAACGAGUGGCGGACGGGUGAGUAAUGUAUGGGGAUCUGCCCGAUGGAGGGGGAUAACUACUGGAAACGGUGGCUAAUACCGCAUACUAUCGGAUGUACCCAUAUGGGAUUAGCUAGUUGGUGGGGUAAAGGCUCACCAAGGCGACGAUCUCUAGCUGGUCUGCGAGGAUGACCAGCCACACUGGGACUGAGACACGGCCCAGACUCCUACGGGAGGCAGCAGGGGGGAAUAUUGCACAAUGGGCGCAAGCCUGAUGCAGCCAUGCCGCGUGUAUGAAGAAGGCCUUAGGGUUUUAAAGUACUUUCAGCGGGGAGGCGUUACCCGCAGAAGAAGCACCGGCUAACUCCGUGCCAGCAGCCGCGGUAAUAC